AUGAGAGGCCCUGUAGAGCUCCCUCACCCUUCCACUGGGACUGGGAAGAGGGCCCUCAUGGGACCGUGCUGGCCCCCUGCUGUCACACAUCCAGCCUCCAGAAGUGUGAGAAUAAACGCCUAUUGUUUGUAAGCCCCCCAGUCGGUGGGAUUUCCUUGUAGCAGCCUGAAGGAACCAAGACCCUCACCUAGGAGCUGUUUGUGCAGACAGCUGACAUGGCCCCGCCAUCUUAGGAACAGAGAUAAAGUAAAGAGUAUGUCACAAAAACGAACAGCUUCGCCGUGGAGAAACCCGGCAGACGGCACCUUCGUCCAGCGAUCAAAGUUAACACCCCCAAUCAUGGUACAAGCCAACGUCAUGAGCCUCCUGAUUCGAGACACCGAGAAGGUCACAGCAUCCCUCAUGCAGCAUUCCUGCCAAAAAGGCAAAGCCCAAAUCCAAUCACGAGGAAACACCAGACAGACCUAACUCAAGGGAAAUUCCACAGAACAACUGGCCCGUCGCCUUCAAAAAUAUUAGUGUCCUGGAAGACCGAGGGAGGCUGAGGAAGUUCUAAACUCAAAGACACUGAAGGGACAUAACGUCUACAUGGGACGCGUGCUCCUGGAUCGCAACCUGGACCGGAAGGAAAAUUUGUUAGAAGGACAUUAUCAGGCCGAUAGGCAACAUUCGAAUGAGAUUUGUAGAUUAGAUAGCAGUUUUGUAGCAACGGGAACCUUCCUAGUACUGGUAAUUGUACAGUGACUGUGCUGGGGAACGUCCUUGUUUUUAGUAAAUGCACACCGAGUAUCCGGGAGCAAAAAGGCGUUGUAUUCGCGACUUGCUCUCGGGGGUUUAGAAGAUACAUAUAGAGAGAAUGAUAAAGCAAAUGUAGCAAAGUAUUAACAGUUGAUGAAUCUGGGUGCAGGGUACACAGGAAUUCUUCACUGUGUUUUUGCAACUUUUCUGUAAGCCACCUCGUUAUCAUAAACAAUCAGACAUUGUCCAAGGGGCGCACCAGGAAUAACAAAGACCGUGCAACCACUUGGGAAACACCAAGGGUUUAGAGGCUACCUCGCAGGAACCAGGAACCAGGGACCAAGGCCAGCCACAUUAUUAUGCAAACCGGAUCCAGUAUUCUAGCUAGAAAAGUAAGGCAUUUAUGCAAAUAGAGCCUGAGAGUACAAAAUAUACUAUUCAAACAUUAAAAUACCUCCUCCUGGCCCAAACUAAAAUUGUGUCCCAGUCUAUAAAUAGAAAAAUAGAAAGAGUUAAGUCCAAACAUGUGCUUUCUCUUCCUGCCAAGGACGACUGGUAGUUAAGAUAGAGUGUGUGUGUGUGUGUGUGUGUGUAUGUGUGUGUGCGCGCGCAGGGUGGGGGGGGGUGCGGCUUAUGUCUGGGACGCCAUUUUCGUGAAGGAGUCACUGUGGGUCUUUGGAAGCCAGGCACGCAGGUUCAAAUCUGAGAAAUGGAUUCAUGGAGGAUAAAACUAACCAAACGCACGGCCGUCACCGCCACCGCCACGGCCACGGCCACAACAGAAUCGGGUGCUGUUUACUUAGUGUCAGGCACACUUCCAGUACCAAUAAAUCAUCCUGGAGUUAGCAACACUACUCUCACACGACCGACGUUCAUAAACCACGGCAUCUGGCUCCGUUUCAUCCUAUAUAAUCUGCUUCCUGAGGUGUUUGAGCUCCCGCGCCUAAAAUCACGCCUCCAGGGCUAGGGGCCCACCGCGGAAAGUAAGGCACUUUGCUUUCUGCCCUUGGCUCUGCUGAGCAGCUGAAUGCCGCUGGGCAAGUCGCUUCCCCUCUCUGUGCUGGCUGUCAUCCACUGCAAAAUCCUGAUGCCAAUACCUAGUCCCUUUAUCUGCCCAAGGCCGCCUUCAGGAGAAAAUGACACACAAGAUGAAGAAACCGCAUCGACAAAGUUCACAAACACCAGACAAAUGUGACUCGCGUUACCUAAGGAAUUACCGGAACCCCAAACCAGAUCUACGGGCGGGCAAGGCUCUGAGCACCAGCCGCUGUCACAAAAUAGCACAGACCUAGCGGCUUAAACGACACACACGUUAUUUCUCACCGCCCUGGAGGCUGGGAAGUCGAAGAUCAGGGCGCAGGCACAUUUAGUUCCUGGGGAGAACCUGUUUCUCGUCUGGCUCACGGACAAGCUGCCGUCCUUCUCGGCAAGGAAGGUCUGUAGCCUUGGCGGUUCCCGUGACUGGGUCACCAAGACACCGCAGAUAUUUUUAUAUCUGUUCACCUUCUGCAGAUAUCUACACGCUCCUCACGACUUUGAAUUUAUGCCGGCCAGGGGACCGACCCACUACUGGAUUGUGUUAUUUAAUGCCUAAAGCAGCAUGUCUAUUACUCCCGCACAGUGUUUACACUUCUCUUGGUAACUGCAUGGAAAUACACUUGUUUUCGCUCU